rnacentral:rRNA from 1 species
UACGUAGGGGGCGAGCGUUGUCCGGAUUCAUUGGGCGUAAAGAGCUCGUAGGCGGUUUGAUAAGUCGGGUGUGAAAUCUCCAGGCUCAACCUGGAGAGGUCACUCGAGACUGUUAUGACUAGAGUCCGGUAGGGGACCACGGAAUUCCUGGUGUAGCGGUGAAAUGCGCAGAUAUCAGGAGGAACACCAGUGGCGAAGGCGGUGGUCUGGGCCGGAACUGACGCUGAGGAGCGAAAGCGUGGGGAGCGAACAGG